AGAAACAGGCCAGCUUUAGACAUGGUUUCUAAGAUUCAGGGGAGUUUGGGGACUAGACAAACAUCCCUUCUUCAAAACAAGAAUUUAAAUUAUUCGCUGAAAUGAGAUGGACCAACCAACCCAGGCCAGAAGAGUGAAAUGCCCCAGGAAAACUGCCAUGCUUACAGUUGGUCUCCAUGACAAGAAGGGCAGCUUGAACUUGUGGCUCCUGUAUGCCAACAAACUUUGGCAUCACACUGGUUUAGAAAACAGCCUGCAAACAGAUGGAGAGCUGCUGGAGAUGAAUCUGAAGGCUGAGGAUCAAAGUUGGUACCACCAUAACAAGGAGGCAGGGACGCCUCUAAUGGUGCUCAAAGCUGUCCUGUCCUACUGAGGGCACUGCAAAGGCACACAAAGCACAGGCAUCCAAACCUACCUGAUGUGCACCAUGCCAGCUUCAAAACAGAUGCAGUAUCAAGACCUCAGGCACUCCACCUGUCCCAUGGGUAAGAGGUGGAG